rnacentral:rRNA from 1 species
CCUACGGGAGGCUGCAGUGGGGAAUAUUGGACAAUGGGGGGAACCCUGAUCCAGCGACGCCGCGUGAGUGAAGAAGUAUUUCGGUAUGUAAAGCUCUAUCAGUAGGGAAGAAAAUGACGGUACCUGACUAAGAAGCCCCGGCUAACUACGUGCCAGCAGCCGCGGUAAUACGUAGGGGGCCAGCGUUAUCCGGAUUUACUGGGUGUAAAGGGAGCGUAGACGGUGCAGCAAGUCUGAUGUGAAAGGUCGGGGCCCAACCCCGGGACUGCAUUGGAAACUAUGUGACUGGAGUGCAGGAGAGGUUAGCGGAAUUCCUAGUGUAGCGGUGAAAUGCGUAGAUAUUAGGAGGAACACCAGUGGCGAAGGCGGCUCACUGGACUGUAACUGACGUUGAGGCGCGAAAGCGUGGGGAGCAAACAGGAUUAGAUACCCCUGUAGUC